rnacentral:rRNA from 1 species
GGUUAAGUGACUAAGCGUACAUGGUGGAUGCCUUGGCAGUCAGAGGCGAUGAAGGACGUACUAACCUGCGAUAAGCUGUGAGAAGUCGGUAAGAGACGCUAUUACUCACAGAUUUCCGAAUGGGGAAACCCACCCAAGAUAACUUGGGUAUCGUUACAUGAAUACAUAGUGUAACGAGGCGAACCGGGAGAACUGAAACAUCUAAGUACCCCGAGGAAAAGAAAUCAACCGAGAUUCCC